UGCGUAGGCGGCCAAAUUAGUCAGGGGUGAAAGCUCGCAGCUCAACUGCGGAAUUGCCUUUGAUACUGUUUGGCUUGAAUCAGGAUGAGGUCAGCGGAAUAUGGCAUGUAGCGGUGAAAUGCAUAGAUAUGCCAUAGAACACCAAUUGCGAAGGCAGCUGACUAGACCUGCAUUGACGCUGAGGCACGAAAGCGUGGGGAGCGAACAGGAUUAGAUACCCUGGUAGUCC
rnacentral:rRNA from 1 species